rnacentral:rRNA from 1 species
GCAAAACUUCUAGCCCAAUCAACUAUAACUAGCAUACCCAUAUUUGACAAAACAAAACAUUUGACAAGAUUAGUAAAUGCGAUUAAACAUUAAAAUUGAAGCAAUAGCAAACGAGUACCGCAAGGGAAAAAUGAAAUAAUACUGAAAUACCACACGCGAAAAAAAGCAAAGAUUAACACUUGUACCUUUUGCAUCAUGAUUUAGCAAGCAUACCCAGACAAAGCGUUACUUUAGCCUGCCCCCCCGAAAUCAGGUGAGCUACUCUUAAAUAGUUUAUUAGAACGACCCCGUCUCUGUAGCAAAAGAGUGGCACAAGUUAAGAGUAGAGGUGAAAAGCCUAACGAACCUGAUGAUAGCUGGUUGCCUACUUUUUAAACGAAUUUUAGUUCGACUUUAAGCCUACUACUACAUUAACUAGUACCCCCUACUUUAAGCUUAAAAGAUAAUCAAUAGGGGUACAGCCCUAUUGAUUAAGGAUUCAACCCGUAUUAGAGAGCCAAAUAACAACCACAAAACCAGUGGGCCUUAAAGCAGCCAACAUUAAAUAAAGCGUCACAGCCUACAUUUUAAAUAAUAUCAAAAUAUAAUCCAACCUCCUAAUUACCUACUAGGCUAUUCUAUAUAAUUAUAGAAGAACUAAUGCUAAAACUAGUAACAAGAUUUCAUCUCUUUUACGCACCUGUAACUCAGCUCUGAAUGUCAACUGAAAAUUAACAGACCAAAAUAGGCAUAACUUAGAAGAUACAAGACUUAAGUACCAAAAUACUGUUAACCCAACACAGGCGCGAUCUAAAGAAAGAUUAAAAGUUAAAAAAGGAACUCGGCAAAUCUAGUCCCAACUGUUUACCAAAAACAUAGCCUUUAGCUAUCCAAGUAUUAAAGGUACCGCCUGCCCAGUGAUUAUCCUUAAACGGCCGCGGUAUUAUAACCGUGCAAAGGUAGCGUAAUCACUUGUCUCUUAAAUAGUGACCAGUAUGAACGGCUAAAUGAGGACUAAACUGUCUCUUUUAACUAAUCAGUGAAACUGAUCUCCCAGUACAAAAGCUGGGAUAAACAUAUAAGACGAGAAGACCCUGUGGAGCUUUAAACUAAGUACUAACCAAAAUAUAGUAUGUAGUUUUUAGUUGGGGCGACUAUGGAAACAAACAAAACUUCCAACUGCGAGCCUUACACUCCUACCAAGACCAACCUGUCAAAGUACAUGCCUGAUCCAGUAAAUACUGAUAAACGAACCAAGUUACCCCAGGGAUAACAGCGCUAUCUUCUUUAAGAGACCAUAUCGACAAGAAGGCUUACGACCUCGAUGUUGGAUCAGGACCCCCAAAUGGUGCAACCGCUAUUAAUGGUUCGUUUGUUCAACGAUUAAAGUCCUACGUGAUCUGAGUUCAGACCGGAGAAAUCCAGGUCGGUUUCUAUCUAUACUUCAUUUUCUUUAGUACGAAAGGAUCAAGAAAAUAGGACCAAUCUUAAAAAGAAGUCCUCACAAUAACUGAAUAAAAAUAAAGUUCACAACAUAAUUACAACCCAAGACAUGGGUUA